rnacentral:rRNA from 1 species
UUGACCUCGAAUCAGGUAGGGAUACCCGCUG